UCAAGGAGUUCACCACAGAUGCUCGAGAAACAAAUAAUUAAAAUUGUUUUAAGUUCUCUGAUUUAACAGCAAGAGCCCAUAUAAAGCUGGAUUGAGGGGUAAAUGAGAAAUAAUAUGUUAAUAUAUAAAUCGAAGAGUAUCAAUGUGCACAAAGCUAAUAUAUAUAUACAUAAGUACAUGUGUAUUUAUAUGCAGGUGUUUUUUGGAUUUGAAAACUUCUUCUGUACUAUAUGCAAGUAGUUAGAUUUUUUCUAAGUCUAAUACACAUAUGUAUGUUUUACUGGGGAAAUUUAGAUUUUUUCUAAGUCUAAUGCACAUAUAUGUAUAUGUUUUAUUGCGCCAAAUUGGAAGUUAUAAGGGGAUUCUGCUUUUGAAUUUGAAAACUUCUUGUAUACUAUAUGUUAGUAGUUAGAUUUUUUCUAAGUCUAAUACACAUACGUAUGUUUUACUGGGGAAAGUAAGAUUUUUUCUAAGUCUAAUGCACAUAUGUAUGUUUUAUUGCGCCAAAUUGGAAGUUAUAUGGGGAUUCUGCUUUUGGAUUUGAAAACUUCUUGUAUACUUUAUGCUAGUAGUUAGAUUUAUGUAUGUUUUCCUGGGGAAAGUAAGAUUUUUUCUAAGUCUAAUGCACAUACAUAUGUAUGCUUUAUUGCGCCAAAUUCAAUUGGGACAAAGCUAAUAUAUACAUAUACAUAUAUAUAUUUAUAUGCAGGUGUUUUAUGGUUGGUUGGAAAAGUUCAUGUAUACUAUAUGUAAGUAGUUAGAUUUUUUCUACUAAUACACAUAUGUAUAUUUUACUUGAGAAAUUGCGCCAAAUUGAAAGUUAAAGAGGGAAUUCUGCUUUUGAUUUAAAAAGUUCUUCUGUACUAUAUGCAAGUAGUUACAUUUUUUUCUAAGUCUAAUAUGUCGUUUACUGGGGAAAUUGCGCCAAAAAUUAAAGUUGAAGAAGAAAUCGUCAACGGAAUUUUAGUUCUUAAAGAAUUUCGUCGCGAAAGGUUAAAUUCGUUCUCCAAUUCGAUUUUGCGCUUUUUAGUUUUAUUUAAAAUAAAAUGGCGAGUAAAAAUGUUAGAAAGUGUCGCGAGCGGGAGUGCACGACAGAAUCUUCCAGAAGAUUAUUUUUUUUCCCCAGGAACGAGGAGGACUUCCAGAAGUGGGUGAAAAAAUUUGCAGAUCCCAUCAACACAGGAUUUACCCACCCACAAUGCAUUCGUUUGUAUUAAGCACUUCGAACGAAAUGCAGUGUAUGAAGAAGUUGAAGGCAUAUGCUGUGCCCACCCUCCACCUUGUUAUUGCAGAGAAGCACGCAACACUUUUAGUUUACCGCACGGAAUAAUAACUACAUAAGUAGGUAUUUCACAACUUCUCGAAACUUCUAUGGAAAUGUAUUCUGUCUCUUUUCGACGCAUACAGAAUUUGCUUUUGGAAAAAUUGUAAACAUUGACAGUCAUUUUACUGUUCAUUUGACUGUCAGUGCUGACAUAAUAAAUGUGAGUGGAUUGGUGAAUCCAUCAGCAGCAUGGUAUAAGGGAUAGAGUCCCAUUCACAUUAGUUUCGCUACCUCUGAGGCGUACGUUCAUAAUAAUACCAACAUGGUGGCCAUGGUCGGAAGGCUUCUUAAGUUUCAACCGGAUUUCUCGCCCAGCAGUUUCGAUGAAUCAGGAAACCCCCUCAUUAACAUGCUGUCAAGGCCUCAGUUCGUUUGCAAUUUUGAUUAUUCUCUUUACCACUGAAUUCACGCCUAGAGACACGGUGUCAGUCAGCAGAUCUAACGUACCAAGGAGCAUUAUCUAAAGUGAUACCUAACCCUGUUAUGAUGUGGUAUAGGAGGAAUAUUUAUAUAAUAGCUUAAACACAAUACGGGCGACGACGAAUAUUCGUCGUACUCGGUGGCGCUGUCGGACGGAUUUUCGCCGAGUGUUGCCGCCGUGUAAAACACAAAACGGACGAUUUUCGUCGCAGCUAGUGUAUAUUCAGCGCUCAAAAAUAUCACAAUAAAUGACGAAACCAAACAUAAACAAUCUUAA